rnacentral:rRNA from 1 species
GACGAACGCUGGCGGCACGCCUAACACAUGCAAGUCGAGCGAGUUGAUUCCUUCGGGAUGAAGCUAGCGGCGGACGGGUGAGUAACACGUGGGCAACCUGCCUCAUAGAGGGGAAUAGCCUUCCGAAAGGAAGAUUAAUACCGCAUAAGAUUGCAUCUUCGCAUGAAGAAGCAAUUAAAGGAGCAAUCCGCUAUGAGAUGGGCCCGCGGCGCAUUAGCUAGUUGGUGAGGUAACGGCUCACCAAGGCGACGAUGCGUAGCCGACCUGAGAGGGUGAUCGGCCACAUUGGGACUGGGACACGGCCCAGACUACUAGGGGAGGCAGCAGUGGGGAAUAAUGCACAAUGGGGGCAACCCUGAUGCAGCAAUGCCGCGUGAGUGAUGACGGCCUUCGGGUUGUAAAGCUCUGUCGUCGGGGACGAUAAUGACGGUACCCGAGGAGGAAGCCACGGCUAACUACGUGCCAGCAGCCGCAGUAA